UGGGGAAUCUUGGACAAUGGGGGCGACCCUGAUCCAGCGACGCCGCGUGAGUGAAGAAGGCCUUAGGGUUGUAAAGCUCUUUCAGUCGUGACGAUGAUGACGGUAGCGACAGAAGAAGCCCCGGCUAACUCCGUGCCAGCAGCCGCGGUAAUACGGAGGGGGUUAGCGUUGUUCGGAAUUACUGGGCGUAAAGCGCGCGUAGGCGGACUAUUAAGUCAGGGGUGAAAUCCCGGGGCUCAACCCCGGAACUGCCUUUGAUACUGGUAGUCUUGAGUUCGAGAGAGGUGAGUGGAAUUCCGAGUGUAGAGGUGAAAUUCGUAGAUAUUCGGAGGAACACCAGUGGCGAAGGCGGCUCACUGGCUCGAUACUGACGCUGAGGUGCGAAAGUGUGGGGAGCAAACAGGAUUAGAUACCCCCGUAGUCC
rnacentral:rRNA from 1 species